GUCCCGAGGGCUGAGAGAUGAGGGAUGAGAAGGCUCCGCAUCUGUCAGAGCGGACCCAGCUAGCCGCUGUUCCUAGGACACUGAGGCACACGGCCCUUUUGGGCGGUCGUCUUCUUCCUCACCGCUCCAACCGCUGUGGCCUGAGGACACGGAGGACAGCUGGGUGACGGUCGUGUUGUGGCCUUGUCCCAAGUGUGUCUGGCCCUCACAAGAGUGCAUGACAAGUGCUAGCGGGCGAAGGUGCUGGGCUGCACUUGGGAUUUCCUACUCUUGGCCAGCCAUCCCGAAAGGCUGCCCGGAGGACAGGACACGUGACCCAAGGUCUGGUGAUGGCUCAAGGAGGGAGGAUGGGGGAGGGGUGAAAAAGCUCCUGGUGGCCUCACCGUACAAGGCGGGGUGGGGUUGGCAGGAGCGCUGGGCCGAAGCUGGCGAACUUACACCACGGACUGCAGAUUAAAUUUUACAGAGCUCGUAUCUACCUCCCUCCCUCCACUGAGCACCGAGAAGAUUUUCAAUGACCUCAUUGCCAGUCCUCUUCUCUCGCUCCUCCUCCACCUUCCCUUCCUCCUCUCUCUCUAUCCACCAGACUCCGAGUACUAACAUCAAUGAUGCCGUCAGUAAUGUGGUCACUGGGAAACAACUGAAGGAUUUCACGGUUUUCUCUGGCCUUGGGGAGUAUCUGGCCCCAGAGUAACGCAGAAUCAUGUUGGUCCUGGAGUUACAGAGGGUCGUGGGCCACCAUGUGGUGCUGGGAACCAAACCCAAACUCCGUGGAGGAGCAGCCAGUGCUUGUAACCAGGACUAACCUCUUCGGCUGGGUCUCUGCACUGCAACACUGCAAAGCUCUCACUAGAGCACCUUCGGGCUAGAGCCCCACCAGUGGGUCGGACCGCAGGCCGUGUGGACACAUGGAUGGUCUAUGCUUGCUGAGAACCAGGACAAGCUGAUACUGGGGCAGAUCGCUCAGUGCUGGCUCUGGAGGCUGGUCCUGAAUUAGAGCCGCUGGCCCUCUUCAGGGCAGAAUCCUCCCUCCAGUGAGACCGCGGGGAAGUCGCUCCGGAGAUCUGGAAGCCGGGACUUCAGUGGGCCUUGCUCCACCCAGGACAGCUUCUGUGAAACAAGCUGAAGAGAAAUGCAGGCAGGCUUUGCUCACCUCAUGUCUGUCGUGAAGAAUACAAGAAAGGCUCAGUGCUGUGAGCCGCAGCAGCUCCAGGAGGCUGGCAGGGAGGAAUGCCGAAGAAAGCAGAUAAAUGGAAUGACAAAAUAAAACUGUCCCAGCUUCAAUGUUAGUUAUGGAAGCAAGUUUACACUUGGCACUUGCUUCUUCCGCUGGUACCAGGAACUGAAACUUGCACGAGCUUGUCAAGCGCUGAGCUCCAUCCCCCAGCGUCCAGACUGGAAGCUGCUCAGAAGGAUGCCAACGGAAGCCAGAGGAUUGUUCCUGAGACUUUGCUCGCUGACCUUUGAGACAGGGUCCUUCACUGGGAGUUGAGGUCGACGACAGCCAGUGAGCCGGCCAGCCAGUGAGCCCCAGCUUGUAUGUGCGGUUGGAAAGCCUAACCCUUCACAGCUCUGUUGCUGGCAAAGCAGAGCCUAAACUUCUGUGACUUUGUCGUCUGCGUCCUUCCUUCACUCUCGUGGGGACCUUGAGUGCUUCCCUGGUCUUACUCAGUCGCCUCGUUAAUUUUGAAGGUGAGGUGUAUCCUGAGUACAAGACUGCUGCUAUUUAGUUUUUAUCCCCCCUCAGUGUCUGGUACAUUGGAGGAGCCCAUUACUGAUGUCUGAACACGGAACGACGACACUAACACAGCCCUUUCCUCCCUGUCGUAAACUGUAGGCCGUGGGAAUUAAUCUUUCUGAAUGCCUCAUGCAGAAAGGGUGACAGAUGGCGAGCGGGGUUCACAGCUUUGCAAGUUAUGCGGGCUUUCUCAUGACUGCAAUUAGACGACACUGCGUUCAGCCGCAAGGUGUGUUUGUAUAGCGUUUCAAGUCACAGCAGAGGGAGAGGGCUGGGAGACAGGCAGUCAGCACCCCAGAACCCACCAGCCGUGGUGGUGCCUGGGUGAACGAACUCCAGUGCUGGGGAUGGAGGCGGCUGAGACCCUGGGCUCCCCGGCUGGACUGUGCUGUCCAACUGACAUGCUCCAAGUCAGUGAAAACCCAUGACUCCUAACCAUGAGUGUCAAGGCUGAGCUGGCUUCCACACAAGUGUGCAUGCGCACCUGCGCACUCACGAACACAUGCAGGACCACGUGUGUGUGUGCGCACCUGCAUGCGGAAGGAGAGAUGACGGACUGUCUCCGUUCUCUGGCGUGUGUGGUGCUUCCUUUUUGUCUGUGGAGUCUUUUCUUGAACCACGCCGCCCCCCCCAUCUGAGUUUUCACUCUUCCCGAGAUGAUAUCUUUGCUCAGCUAUGAAAGUCACCUGGCACGCCAGCUCCCGCCUUCUUUUCCCAAGGUCACUCGUAGGGCACCCCAGCCCUCUGGUGUGCUAAACGGCUGUAAUUGGAGAAAAUUUAAUAAACAACCAUUAAG